UACGUAGGGUCCCGAGCGUUAAUCGGAAUUACUGGGCGUAAAGCGUGCGCAGGCGGUCUUGUAAGCCAGAUGUGAAAAGCCCCGGGCUCAACCCUGGGAACUGCAUUUGGGACUGCAAGGCUGGAGUACGGCAGAGGGAGGUGGAAUUCCACGUGUAGCAGUGAAAUGCGUAGAGAUGUGGAGGAACACCGAUGGCGAAGGCAGCCUCCUGGGCUAGUACUGACGCUCAUGCACGAAAGCGUGGGGAGCAAACAGG
rnacentral:rRNA from 1 species